rnacentral:rRNA from 1 species
CGAGCGUUGUCCGGAUUUAUUGGGCGUAAAGAGCUCGUAGGCGGUUAGAUACGUCGGAUGUGAAAUCUCCACGCUUAACGUGGAGGGUGCAUUCGAUACUGUCGUGACUAGAGUCCGGUAGAGGAGUGUGGAAUUCCUGGUGUAGCGGUGAAAUGCGCAGAUAUCAGGAGGAACACCGAUUGCGAAGGCAGCUCGCUGGGACGUAACUGACGCUGAGACGCGAAAGCGUGGGGAGCAAACAGG